GGAGAGCAGAGGCCUGUUGUGGCUGCUGCUGUUCAUGCUGCUGCUGGUUGCUGCUGCUGUUGCUUUGCUGGUUAGAGCUAUCCUGACAGCAAGAUCAAAAUUGCCCCAGGGAACUUGAUGCUCCUAAUCAGCAGCGAAGACAGGAUAGUUAUCCCUACUGAAGGGAAAACAGUGAAAGCUUUCUCGUGACAAUAGCAGAGGACAAGGUGAUAUCAGAGAUGUGGAAGUCCAUUUCAAGCCUCUGGCUAUAUUGCAUCAGUCACACCAAGGAAGAAGCCCAUUGAAGAGGGAAGAAGCUCUAAAUUGUAUGACAAAAGUUAUAAAUGCAGAUUAAUCUGCUGGGUCUCAGGGGUUUGAACCUAGCUCAGCCAGCAAACAGGCUACCUUUUAAUGUCCCACAUCCUCCUAGCUGCCUGAAGAAGAAAAUCUCCUCCUGGCUGCCUUCAGCUGAAGAUAUGGAACUCUUGGCUUCUCCAGCAGCAUGUCUGCCUGCGUAAUGUCAUGCUUCUCACCAUGAUGAUAAUGGACUGAACCUCUGAAACUGGAAGCAAGAUCAAGGCAUUGGAUCUCCUGGAGCUGGAGAUACAGGUGCUUCUGAGCUGCCUUGCUACAUGCUGGUAUCUGAACAAUUGUACUCUGGAAGCAUAAGUGCUCUACUC
ensembl:lincRNA Gm13485 predicted gene 13485